UUUGAUGAAGUACAACAAGAGGAAUUAUUUAAAAAUUAAAAUAUAAUUUUGGAAAAAUCCAUUAUUAAAACUAAAAUUAUAUUAACAGAAACUUCAUCUUAACAUAAUCCAGUUAACUAUGUUAAGUUGAAGUUAUGUUAUGUCUGAGUUGUUUUAAUUACUCAGACAGUUAAAUGCAAGAGUCGCUUUUGAUUUUUCUGUAUUUUAUUUAUUUGCUACAUCACAAGACAAGGUAUGCUUUAUUAAAUAUUUUGCCUCUCACACCCUGACUUUUGAGAAAGGUGCUAAAUAAACAAUACAUACCGGUAUGGCAUAUAUACCACAUGACAGCUUUCAAAGAGUCCAAAAUAUUAAGUAAAGUAAGUAAAGUGGUUAACUUGGAUAUCAUUUUAAAAGUCUUCUCUAAGCAAAAUCUAAUGAGAACAAUGAAUACUAAAGAAAAUAUUUCAAAUGGCAAACAUUUUAAGUGUAGUAAUGCUGCAAAUUUGGGUAUCAUGGAGAGCACUGCAGGCCAUGGUGGGUCUGGAACACCUCUGAGUUUGAUGUUAAUAUGCAUCGUCCCUAUAUAAAGGAUAGACUUAUUGUGAUAAUCUACUAUAUAUAUCAUUGUAUCUGUAGCCUUAAACCUUGGAAGCUUCCAACACUCCAAUAGGAUAUAGAGAUUGUGGAAUGGGUAUGUGCUCUUCCCCAGAAUUAAAAAUAUGAACAUCUUAAAAUUAAUUCUCUAUCUCUCUUGUAUUAAAAUUCUAAUAGGGCUUGCAUUUAAAAUGAUUACAGGUUAUAACCUGCACUAAAAUGGUCAAGUGUAGAUAAAAUUUAAAAUCUGUUGUAUCACAUUAUUUAAGAACAGCUGGGCCGAUUUGGCUAUUGUGUAUUUUGAAUAUUCAUAAUAAUACAAAUUUGGUUUCUAUGAAAAGAAAAAAUUUUAAAUGUAUAGAUUCUGCAAGUUUCAACAGAAACGGAAAAUUCCAUGUGUUUUGAGAUAGGUAGUAGUAUACUGCAAACAGCAAUGACAAUAAUAACUAACAUUGAACAUAGGUAAUGGAUUUACAUCAGUCCUGGAUUGAAAUCAUUUUGUAUACUCGGGGUAUUAUUUUAACAUUUGCAUAAAAGUAAACUAAUCAACAAAAUUAACAGUAUAUGCAAGGUAUAUAUCAGUAUUCAAAAUUAAUGUUGGGCAUGGAAUAUUUACGGUAUCUUUAGGAAUGAAAACAGAGACUGGACACUAAUAUGGCUCAAUGAGCCAUUCCCCCUAUGAAUAUAAUUUGGGGAAACAAACAUGGACAGCGAGUCUGUGACCAUUGCAAAUGGAAUCACAAAAUGCACCAGUGCAAUUUUUGAGGACUGAGAAAAUCAACAAGGGGGCAGUGAAUCUGUUUUGCACUAAUGCAAUAUUGAUUAGUUAUGUAAAAAUUGAUUUAAUUUAUUCUAAAAAGAUAACAUAGAUAGGAAAACAGUGUGUUGUAUUAGAUAUAUUCAUACUUCCUGAGAACAAAAACCAAAGAUACAGAAGAAGUUAGCAAGCCAGGUGGUCAUGUAAAACAAGCAGAUGAGAUCUUUAGGAGAUUUAAUUUAACAUAACCGUAAAUAUUAAAGAAGUGAUAAUUUAGGUGCUUGUGCUUCUAUUUACAACAGCUAUUGUGUGCAAAUGUGUUGAAAUUUUGCAUGAUUAUUUAAAUAAUAUAUAUCUGCAUCCGUUCUACAAAAUUAUCAUAGUGCUCCAUAAUACACCAUAAGUGAUUUUGUAUGGAUACUGAAUACACUUCCUCCACAUUGCCUAAAAUAGUUUCAAGUACUACUGUGAUCUUUGGAUCUAUUCAAUCAACUGUCAUGGAACAUUGCAUUGACAUUUGAGUUAUUCCAUUGAUGUUCAUAAAUACUGUUACACUCUCCGAUUUUAGAAUCCCAAAACCAUUAUCCUUUAAAUGAUGUCCAAUAUUAAGCGAUUCAAGAGAUCGGGAAUAUCUUCCAACGACCAUGACAAAAGCGCCUGGUAUACCAUUUAAAAAAAAGGAAAUGCCUACGUCGACCCUGCUAAUCAGCAGAAUAUUGUGUGCAAAUCCAUGGGUAACAGCUAGCUUAGAAUAAACCCUUGUAGAGGUGUGGAAAAUUAUUUAAAAAAUACAAUGAAGAAAAUUUUGAUUGUACUUUGUAUUUAAUAUUUUAUUUUAUUUUUACAACUUCGCUGUUUAUUAUUUUAAAACUAAUCUAAAUUCCUUCUUCAGUUACAAGUAUUUCACAUUAUCUAAAGUCCAUAAGCCAACUUUUUAAAAGGGUCUGUAGCUAGUGCAUGUGCCUUUUCUCAGUGCUGUACAUAUGUAUCACGAUGGACAUUGUAGACGUUGCCGGAUGGAUAAUACCACUGCUUGUGUUUUAUUUCCCAAAAAUGGCUGAUUCUAAUAUGGAUAAUUUAAUUCUUAAGAUUUUGUUUCUGUUAGAAGAGGUUAUCACCCUACCUUUCUUAUGUAUAUCACUAGUGAAAACCAUUUUAGUUACCUGGAAAGUCCACUUCAGGAUACAUGUAUUCGACCACAGUAAAUCGUUUAUGUUACCGUAUCACACCUGUUAUACCCUGAAACCAUUUUGUUGUUGCUAUCAUCUUCAUGAAAACUUAAAAAUUAUUUUCACCAUGUAAAGGAAUGAGUUUUUUCUCGUAUCUAUCAAUUUUGUUUUAAUUACUGAAACGUUUUGACAUUUAAAAAAAGUGAGAAUGACCUAUUUCUCGCUCAUCACUUGCCAGAAAACACCACAAGAGGUAGGUCCACAAUCACAAGGGUCAAGAGGACAAUGUGAAGACCAGCACAACUGUGUCAAAGAAACAGUAUAUUAUUUAUAAAAUGAGACUAUAAGUACAAUGCCAUAUGUCAACAUUUAGUAAAGAAUGGAAAAUAUUCUAAAAGCCGAUUUAGUCAGCGCUCUACACAUUUCGAAAAAAAAACCCGCAGACUGAUGCCAUUGGACCUCAGCACAUUUAGGAAAUACCCUUAGGCCGAUCUCAUUGGCUCUUGGCAUUCAAAGAGUUAACGAAGUAAUAUUAAAACCAUUUUAGAGAUUUAUUAAGUUAUUGGUACUUGAUAGUAAUUCCUAUUCAUAAGCAAUACAACUGAUUGUGAAAGGUGUUCGUAACACAUUCACCAUAGCAUAAGGGUAAAGUUGUGGACAUUAAAUAAUUACUUUGUGUAUUAAAUUAAAAUAUCUGGUGUAGAAAGAACACCUUUAGAAAAGUGCAAUUUGCUUAAUAUCGCUUUAUGACUCAAUAACAGGUUUUUCUCUGAAAACUUAUUUCCGAUAGUAAGCAGAGCUAUCUGACAGUUUAAUCUCUUACUGUAAUUUUGAUUAAGAAAAUUAUGAUUUCAAGGCCAACUGUUGAUAAGAACAAUAACUGUAACAACAGGCUAUACAAGUUACUUUCGUUGUGACGUGAAAGAAAACUUCGCUUUCUCCGGUCAUCAUAUGAAGUGGACCAAAGUUUGUUGGUCAACUGAACUUCUCAAACACAUCAUCUUUGGAAGGAACAAAGAGAAUUUACAAUCCAACAUGACUCUUCAAUUUACUGUUCAACAAAAUACCUUGGACUGCUGUUAGAUGAUGAUUUUUCAUGAGGUAUUCAUAUUGAUGAUUUGUUCCAUUGACUCAACACCUCACUGUUUGCUGUGAGAAGAAUCAAUUCCAUUAGUACCACCAUAGAAGCUACCAAAAUAGUUGAUUGUACACUCUUUGAAAGCAGAGCAAGACAUGAAAUUACCUUUGGGGAGCAUCCUCAAACAACAACCUUCAGCAAAUUAUAGUCCUGCAGUAAAGGGAGUAAGAAUUAUGGCAAAUCUUCCAUCACGGGACAGCUGUAGAGAUGUAUACAAAAACCUAAAUAAACUUACCAACAUAUCUCUCCACAAAUUUGAAGUCAUCAUGUACUUACUCUGUUAACUCCAAUUUAACCAGAAACAGUCACCAUGGACAAACAACUAGAAAUGGACUUGACUUCAAUCUACCAGCUGAUAGAACUGCACUAUUUGCCAAGAAACCAUUGUAUGCAUGGUUGUAAGCAAGACUGUUCAGUGCUCUUGCCGAACUUAAACGAAUCGAAGGAAAGAAGCACAAAUCAGUCCUGCAUUGCAGGCUUGGGAAGAUAUCAAUUUACACCAUCAACGGAUUUCUGGGCUAUACGAAUAACUUCCUCAGCUAAGUAACAAUAGAACUCUCAAAAAAUUAAUGUUUUUCCUUAUGUCUUUUAUUUUCACUCUUGUUACAUGGUGCCUGUUCUGAACUUGUUUAUGAAUAAAGUUUUGUGUAUUCUGUAA